rnacentral:rRNA from 1 species
ACGGGAGGCAGCAGUGGGGAAUAUUGGACAAUGGAGGGAACUCUGAUCCAGCGACGCCGCGUGAGUGAAGAAGUAUUUCGGUAUGUAAAGCUCUAUCAGCAGGGAAGAUGAUGACGGUACCUGACUAAGAAGCUCCGGCUAACUACGUGCCAGCAGCCGCGGUAAUACGUAGGGGGCAAGCGUUAUCCGGAUUUACUGGGUGUAAAGGGAGCGUAGGCGGUCAGACAAGUCAGAUGUGAAAACCCGGGGCUCAACUCCGGGACUGCAUUUGAAACUGCCUGGCUGGAGUGCAGGAGAGGCAAGCGGAAUUCCUAGUGUAGCGGUGAAAUGCGUAGAUAUUAGGAGGAACACCAGUGGCGAAGGCGGCUUACUGGACGAUAACUGACGCUGAGGCUCGAAAGCGUGGGGAGCAAACAGGAUUAGAUACCCUGGUA